ACCAUAUCUAGCACUUGCACAGUUGUGCUCCUACACAACAAAGGCCCCUUUGACAGCCACUACUGAUGAUUAUAAGUUACGUCACUUAAAAGGAUGAAAUUACUCACAUAUCCUCAGGCUCUGUGGGGAGGCACAGCUCUGAAUCGCUCCAAGCCAUAGGGGAGGGUGGAAGAAGAAUGGACAGCUGAAUCAGCUAUGAGAUCAGUGACUCAACGGCAAGAAAAUUAUGCUAGCAGGUUGCAUUGUGGAGCCAUUUCAAGAUAGCCAAGCAGAUUUUCUUCCAGCCAGAACUAAAUCAGAAGAUGCAGGCCUGCCUCCCUUCAAAUGCUAUCAGGAGUUUGGCUGUCUGUACCCAAGGCCAGCAAUGAUAUGGCACAGUGGUGUCACCCUGGGUCAAGCUGUGGAGAAAGAACUGUGAGAGGCCUCCUUGUGGUCCUCCACCCCUUGCACUGUGAGGGGCAUGCAGGGUUUGGCCCCUGAUCUUGGUUGUUCCAUAAGAGGUGUCUGUGUUUUAUGUUUGUGCCUAGUUGUGCGUGGUACUCAUCAUAAUCUUGCAUACCUGCCUCGACUUUCUUCACCAUCUGCUCUUGAUCUGCCUGCUCUUGAGAGUAGCCUCAUUGUGUUGCUCCUUUACAGGACACAGAGAAGAAAGCAGUCCUUCGGAUGUAGCCAGAACCACCAAAGCAGUUCAAAAUCAGAUUUAAAGAAGACAGCACAGCUUGCUAAAAGAACAGUGCAGGAGGAUGGGAUGGGAUGGGAUGGGAUGGGAUGGGAUGGGAUGGGAUGGGAUGGGAUGGGAUGGGAUGGGAUGGUGUCUCACCCAUUUUUAAAAACAAGAAUUAUCUCAGGGCUGCAGGGAGGCAACUGCAUUUGGAGGUCUCUAAAUCCUCUUCUCAAGACAAGGCUACUAAAAGCACACUCCUACAGAUCCUUCUACUUGUUCUUACAACAAACCUCUAGGUGCAGUAGUUAGCAGAAGGAGAAAGCUCAGACUGAGAGCACAUCUUCACUUAAGUGUAGAAUUUCUGGCUAAAGUUAGCUUGUGGCUAACCUGAAUGUCUCCAAACGAAGCUCAAAGCAUUUCUGUCAGUGAAGAAAGGUGUAGCAAGAUGGAAAGCUAGAACCUCUUGAAAUCUAGAGGAGAAAGCAGCCUAGGAAAACAUGGACAUCUAAGUUUUGCUUUCUGGGUGUGUUUUAUUCAUCUUAUCCAAAGCAUAAAUGAAUAUAUAUAUUUGCAUUUAUUGGUAGAGCAUUAGUUGUGUGGUAGACACAAACACUGACCCAGGACCUGCUUGGAUAACAGCCCACACAGAGAUUUAAAACCUGCUGAGUAGCUACCUCUUAACUACCCUCAUUUCCCACCUCUUUGAUCCUUGCAAAUAUUUACCUUACACCUUUAAGCCAAAAACUCCUUUUAGCCAACUAAACUAUCAGCUGCGUAAACUUUUGAAAAAUAGCUCUGAAGUAUUUUUUCAUAACAAAAAAAAAAAAAAGAAAAAAAAAAGAAGAAAAAAAACCAACCAAAAAAACCCCCCUCAGUUUGCUUAGUUAGAUCUACUCACCAUAAAUUUGCAUUAAUUUUCAGUACAUGCAUUUGUUCCCCUCUGGAAAUAUUGGAUGCAUUAGCUUGCUCCACUGUAAAGGGAUACUUUGUGAUGAUUCAUUCAUUUAUACGACUGUCCUGCAUAUGAACUGUCUUGGAGAGCUAUAUCAAAAAUUGGCCUAACACUUUAGAUCAAAAUUUGCAAGUUUGGCUCUGACCAUGAAAUUCUUGGCACUUCUUACUUUGGGCUGGUAAAUUUUUGUAGUUUAAAUUUCUGAACAACUGUCUGUGAUUUCUUAGGCCUUUCUCUUUGUGUUUCAAAAUACACUGUUACUCCAAGAUAGUGGCCUUCCUAUUUAAUUAAAUUAUUGUUCAAGUACAAUUCUGAAUUUUGUCCUCUAAUAAUAUCCUGCAUUUGAUAAUUCUUGAACAAAAUCAUGCUGAAUUUGUACAAAUCUUUACACUGACUUUAGAAAGUCCUGAAGUAAGUUUUAAGCAACAUGGCUAGCAACUUCUCCUGUCCCCACAAAUGUGGCAGUGCUCCUCUGCAAGCUUUUGCUCUAUCUUUAAUUUUACUGAUUUUAUUUUAUUGUGUCAGUAUCAUUCUUCUCUUCCAGCAUUGCCAAGAAUGGUUCACAGCCUCCCAAUUAAUUUUAAAUGCAUUUUUAAAAUUUGAAGAUAAAUGUAGAUACAUUGUAACAGACAGGUGUGGAGCUUCUCUUGCAUGUAAUGCUAUCAAAGCAAUGAGACACAUUCUUGGGUAGUGUCUGACUGAGUUGCCAAGGUGCUUUCCACAACAGUUAUUGUUUGUGGAAUGGCUGGAUUCAGCUGAUAAAAUCUUUGUUUUACCAAGAAAAAGAAAAAAAGAAAAAGAAAAAGAAUACAAACAAAAAACCACCACUGAACUAUGGAGUAUUUCAAUCAGGAAACUGAUUCCAAAUAACUAAGAGGUGAUGCAAUAAUUUCUUCAAGAAGUAAAAUGAGGGUGGUCACUGCAUUCUUAGGAUAAACAUUCCUGGCUAUUGAACUGUCUUUGGUCCAGAUGCCUAAAAAGAUUAGUCGUAUUAGCCAAAAUAAUAAUAAUAAUUCACUGAAGGAGUUGAGAGAGUGAUAAUGAGGCUUCCAUGCUUUACUGUAGACAUAAAAAGAAGAACUAAGAUGUAGCAGGGAACCUGGAGGAAAACUGGCACAAAGCAUGGUUAUUUCUGGUGUCAUUCACAGGGAUUUAGCUAUUUGGUGCUUUGGUGAACUGUAUGAAAUGCUGGCGUUGUACCAGAUUUUGUCAUAGGCUGUACUGAGAACCCUGUCAAGGAGUAAGAUGAAACAGCACUCAGAGUAAAACAGAAUAUUUUUACUGGCAGGUAACACCUAACACUGGCUUUUUAAAAAGCAAGUAAACUGCAAGUUAGUUCAUUUCCCAGCUUUUAGAAGGAGCAAAGGAAAGAUUUGUGCUGAGUCUCAGCUUCUUAUAGCUAACAGUACCCUUAAACUUCAGCCCUGUCUACAGCUACAGAAUUGCAGCUAUCAAUUUACACUUCAAAUGUACUAAUAUAAAACAUUUGGGCAGUUCAUCUGCCAUGUCUAUCACGUAGAUGUGCUGUCCAUUUUGUCUACAGAUGGAAAUAGACUGGGACACCUCCACAAGCAGCACUGAGCUCUCAUUCACACAAAGCCAUACGCAGCUUACUAUUAAUACUCAAGCUGUGUUUUACCCGUGUUUAUCACAGCGUGGUUCACCCAGGGAAUUACAGGUUUCAAUAAAAAUGAGUAAUUUUACCAGUGAGCAACACAAACUUCACCAAGCCUCAAAAUAUCUCAUUUUCCCAGAUUGCAUCCAUAGCCUGUAUGGCAAUGGGAGCCUCGCUCAAAGGACUUCAAGGCCAGGCUGGAUGUGGCUCUGGGCAGCCUGGUCAAGUGGUUGGAGACCCUGCACACAGCAGGGGGGCUGAAACUAGAUGAUCAUGAUGAUGAUGGUCCUUUUCAACCCAGGCCAUUCUAUGAUUCUACGGUACGACUCAGUCUUAUUUGAGGCACAAAGUGAGGAUUUUAAUACAGACAUUCAUACUGAACCUAAGGUUACUUCAUUUUUGUAUAAACUCAUGGCAUUUUAGGCGUCGUUGGUAGCCACUUCUGCUCUCUGAGGGCCCCCUGCACAAACAAAUUGUAAAACCGGGGCCCACGCUCUGUGUCAGGAGACUGCUACCAAGAGGGACUGGAAAUAAACGAGUGGAGCCUAUGGAAAAAUUCCGAACUUGGCACAGGCCUCGGCCCGUGGCUCCCAGCCUCCCAACCCAGCAAAACAAGCCGCUGAUAACAGCGAGGCGAAGCGGCGCAGCGCCUCUCCCAAGGUCAGCUAUUUGAGGCACAACAAACAGGAAAACAUGGUGGCGCUGCCCCGCCCCGGGAGCCCCG
rnacentral:lncRNA from 1 species